rnacentral:rRNA from 1 species
GGCGAGGGGAGUGAAAAAGAACCUGAAACCGUGUACGUACAAGCAGUGGGAGCACCUUCGGGUGUGACUGCGUACCUUUUGUAUAAUGGGUCAGCGACUUAUAUUCAGUAGCAAGGUUAACCGUAUAGGGGAGCCGCAGGGAAACCGAGUCUUAACUGGGCGUUAAGUUGCAGGGUAUAGACCCGAAACCCGGUGAUCUAGCCAUGGGCAGGUUGAAGGUUGGGUAACACUAACUGGAGGACCGAACCGACUAAUGUUGAAAAAUUAGCGGAUGACUUGUGGCUGGGGGUGAAAGGCCAAUCAAACCGGGAGAUAGCUGGUUCUCCCCGAAAGCUAUUUAGGU